GAAAAUUAUUUAUCCGUUUUUCUUUACUCAUGUUGAUUUGAUGUGUAACGUUAUUGUUGAACGCUUACACAUAGCUGUGAAACGAAGAAAACAUAAUACGUUUAAAAUAUAGUUUGUUUUUUAUCAGCGUUAAGUACGUUCAAUACGAUUUGUUUUGCCAAACGAUAUAGGGAGAUAGCUGUUGUUUGAUUUAUUUAUACUUUUUUUGAACGGAAAGGAAUUGAAUUCAAAGGGUCUUCGGUGCUAACGAUACUGUUCAAAACGUUCACAGCUAUAAAACAACGAGUACUCGUUAUGAGUGUUACAACAUCAGUCGUUACACUUGGACGAAAGGAAAUCAAAACUUUUGCGAUGUAAUGUAAAUAAAAAAACCCGGUGAGUUCUACCUUUUUUCUUUCCACUGUACAUGUUUUUAAAAUUUGUUGAUUACAUAAAUUUUUAUUCGUCUUACCAAAAAAUAAAAAGCAACGUGAUUGACGUCAAUGAUAUUUUUAUAAACACAAUCGGAUAUAAAAAGUAUGUAUACAAUACUUUUUAGAAUUCUGUUGUUCACGCCUAUGUUUAUUAGGUCUAUCGUUCGACUACGAUUUAAUCGUGUCUUUAUAUUACGUUAAACGAUUGGAAAUUUGUUUUUUUUAAACACGUUAAAUACAUUCAAAUUGAUUUAUUUUUCCAAUUCGUUAUGAAAUAAAUGUACCGAGUAUGUUGGUUCUCUACCUUUUUUGUAAAUUAUCUUUUUCGUACUACAUUACAUUUUACAUUAAUUACUAUUCGUUUUUCCAAAAUAUAUUAGAACAGAGCUUUUGUUUUACCGAGAAAUAUGAGGAGAUAUAGGUAAUCGGAUGUUUUCAUUACAUACACCUGCAAUAUUGAUUUGAUGUGAAAUGCUGUAAUGAUAUUAUAAAAUGCACACACAGCUAUAAAAUAAUGAAGUAAACAUGGGGAGAGCUAUGGGAUGUUUUCAUUGAGAAGGAAUGUGAUUGACUUUACUGAUAUUUCUAUUAUCACAAACAGUUGUAAAAUUUAAAAAUCGAAUUAUAUGCAACACUUUUUAUAAUUCUUUUGUUCACAUUUGUUAAUUAAGUCUAUCGUUUGACUAUGUUUUAAUUGUAUCUUUUAAUUAUGUUAAAUAAUUAUAAAUUUGUUUUUUAAAUAUGUUAAAUUCAUUAAAUUUGAUUUAUUUUUUAAAAUAAUAUAGGGAGAUAGUGUUAGUGCGAUAGAUGUGUGUCAAUGGUUCUAUUGAUACUAUUCAAAUCAAACCCAGCUAUAAAAUAAAGAAAUCGUGGUACGGAUUACAAUUUUUAACACUCUUAUUCCAUUAUGAUACAAGUGUUUUUUUUAAAUAUCUUGAACUGUAUUGUUUACUUGGCUCAUAGUGUUUCGCAGAGUAAUUAAUUAACAAGUGCUCGAACAUGAGUGUAGUACUGUUGCCCUUCGUUCGACUAUGACUCAUUUGUGUCUUUAAAUUAUGUUAAAUACAUUCAAUUUGAUUAAUUUUUCCAAAUAAUAUAGGGAGAGAGCUGUUGAAUGUUUUCGUUGCACUUUAUUCUUUGGAAUGGAAUAGAAUUCAACGUGUUAUUGGUGCUAAUGAUAAUAUUCAAAUCAAACCCAGCUAUAAAAUAAAGAAAACUUGGUAUGUAUUUAUACAAUAUUUAACGCUCAAGUUCCUCUAUGAUAUAAAUGUCUUUGUAAAAUAUCUUAAACUAUAUAUUGUUUAUUUUGCUCAUAGUGGGUUGCAGAUUAAUGAAUUAACGAAUGCUCAAACACCAGUGUAGUACUGUUGUACCCAAGAGCUUGGUUAUUAUUACACUUUUCUCCUAAUAUUAUAAGAAAAAUCUUGGUAUAGUUUAUUUAUUUAAACCGUAUCAUACUGAUAUGACUUUAUAUAAUGAU